AGACCUUUGUCUUCCUCUCUUAGGUCAUUAACUCACUUCUGCAAGACAGAGUACUAGUCUGGGAGACAGGAGAGUUCAAGUUCUAGACCUAGUCCAAGCCGCUAAGCUGGCUGACCUUGGGCAUGUCCUGGUUUCCUCAUCCAUACAUUAAGGGAAGUAACUGAAAUACCUGAGUAUUUCACCUUUCAAUUGGAUAUGUCACCCUGUCCAUUUCAGCCCUUCCUGCCAUUCCUCUCCCCAUUCCUAAGGGAAGCUCACAGCUUGCCUACAGCUCCUGCUGCCCAGGCAGGCCUGUCUCACAGGCCUGUGUGAGAAGUCCCUCCCUCCUACAUCUCCCUCCAUCUUACAGGCCUAGGGAUUGGUUUAUGACCCAAGAGAAGUUGCUUCACAAGCUGGCUUUGUUGUCAGGCUUAAAUAAGAUGAACUAGAUUCAUCUCUCUUUUUUGUUUUUCUUUUUUGAACAAAGGAGCCCCAAAGGAAUUUUCUAGUUAACAGUAAGGAUAGAAGAGAUUCCAGACCCUACAAUACUCAGCUGAACUUCUUUUCUAUCCUAUCUUUAAGACUUAAUGCUCCAUUCAUACAAUGCUCUUGCUUUACCUGGACAGAGAAUCUUGAGUAGCCUUUGGGAGUGAGAAGAUGAAGCUUCUCUUCAGAAUUUCUAAGAGUUAGUGGGAGAAACAGACAAGUAACCCACCUUCAGCCUGUCGCCACUUCAGGACCAUCUAAUAUCCUAGAGGAAGAGGGAGUUAGUCUCAGAUCUGCUUCUGGGCUACCCACACUUCAGCUGUCUUCUCUAUAGUGUGUUGAUAGAAAUCCAAGUUCAGAUUCCAGAACUGCCAUUUACUGGCUAUGUGCUAUUGAACAAAUAACCUCUCUAGAUCUCAGUUACCACACCUGAAAGAUGGAGAUAAUGAUCACUGAUAUCUCAUAGGACUGCUGUGAGAAUUAUGUAGGCACGAUACUUUGCUCUGCUGUUUAACUCCUGGCUUUUGAACAUGACUAUAUACCUGGGGAAAGAUCACUCUUUCAUACCUCUCUACUGCUUCAGUGUGUGUUUUACAGUUGUUAUCAGCCAGCUGAUUAGGGGUGGAACCCAAGGAACAGAGGAAAGGGGCCUGCCCCAAAUCUUACAGCACAUUCAAGCUGGUGCUCUGCGUGGGGCUCUGGGCCCUGCCUCCGAUGGGUCCCCAGAGCUGCUUCCAGGCACCAGAGAGGGGCUCCCCAGCAAGGAAGCAGACGCCCAGAAUGACCAGGCUGCUUGUCCGAUGUUGUGCAGCCAGGUGCCGGCAGUGGGACGGAAUCUGCUGGCUCCCUCACCAGUGGACUAGUUUUGAGGUAAUGAGGAUCAAACAGGGUCUUGUGUCUGGAAACCCUUGAAAUUGUAAAGAAUUGAGGAACUGCUACUUGGGAACCACUGGAUCAAGGCAUCACUUCAGGGAAACAGAAAUGGAGGGCCUGCGAAGCUGUUGUUCAGGAAAGGCUCAAGGCACUGCUGUGGAGGUCGCACAUUCUGACUAUCAGGCAAGACAGAGGAAUGUGAGCCAGAUCGUGGUAUAGUCAUUUGGGUUCAUAGCUAUUCUAGUGGUCACAUCUAAAAGACACUGAUGUCAGCUAGCCGGAUCUCUAGUGGUCCAGAAAAAGGCAUUAAACUGGAGGAAUGGAAACAGAAGUAGGUAAAAACCAACUUUGGCAGUGCAUUAAAUUGGCAGGCAGGCAAUCAAGAGACAGGGGUUGAUACCUUCAUAUUGUAGACUCUGUUAAAGAAUUAAACCAAGUAUUAAAAUUCCAGAUGGUUGAAACAAAUGUAAGCAGCAUGACAGCAGUGACUUUUCAGUGUCUGAUGCUGGGUUACCAGGAUCUAGACAGGCUCCACAGUAGGAGCUCAACAAAUGCUUUCCAAAUGAAUGAGCAGGCUACGACGACUGCUUGCACUGGAUUCAAAGAAGUAGUCACUGAUGCCUGAGACACAGGAGAAAUUUAUGGGUUAAGUGGUCAAAACCCAGAUGUGGCCAGGUUUGCCCUAUGAAUUAUAAACAAGGAGCUGAAGACCAAGAGCAAGUCCCACACAACUAGAAGCUGGAUAAAGGACUACACUUUCUCUUGCUGAAUCACAGGGUCUCAACUUUUUAAUAAAUCUCAAUGACCUCAGCUCUUGAAAUGUCAGUUUUUGCAUUUUUUUGGUAAAAUUUACAGAACAAUUGAUAGCAAAAGUUGUAAUAAUUUUUAUGUUGGCAAAUGCCACCAUAAUGUGAAAUCAUGUCUUUAUUAUCCAUAUUUGUUUAUGGCCCCUAACUGGCAUUGUAGUGCUGCUUCCUCCUUAUUAUGUAGCAGCAGGAGGUGGUGGGAAGGUGGAGAAUGAGGAGGGGGCUGAGAAACAUCUCAUUCUCACAGGUCAGUCCUGGGGCCAAGUCCAUCAGACACACUCAGCAUUCCCUCCAGGGGCUCUACAGGUGUAUGAGGCCAAAGCGUAAAGAGGGGUUUUCUUUACAGUAUUCUCUGAAUGUUUUCAGUGCAAUUCUAGUAUCAGAACUCUUCAACUGCCACCAAAUUCUGCUGUGAGGGAAAGAAAAAUGAGGGAGAGAAAAGAAAAAUUACGUUUUUAGAACACAUUGUUCCUCUUCAACUGUGAACAAGGAAAACUCUUUUUCCUUUUAAAUGAGAAGUAGGUGAGGGUAUGGCGUUAAGAUACGAAGUUAAAUAUACUCUUUCCCCAUUUCAUUGCAAAUGAAUCUUUCCUUUUUCUGAUGUUCUGUGCACCUAGGACACACCAAAGUGUGAAUAACCAAAAUGACUUUCACAAGACAAGGGAGGAGAUGUUGGUUCAUUUUCCACCUAUCUUGGGAAAGCCAGUUGUUUCAUUGGCAUAUACUGUUAGCUUUCUUAGAUACUGAUGUAUUUCAGGACUUCAGUUUGGCUAUGUAUCAAGUACAUGACAAGCUGUUUCUUUUGUUGCAAAAGUUUUCUUGCACUUUCUCUGCCACUUGGAAGUUAGGUAUCGUCCUGAAGCUUUCUGUGGCCAAUGAAAUGUGACCUAAUAUUACACAUCACUUCCAGGUGGAAUUUUUGAUAAGAGCCAGUCAUGAAGGGCUACUUUUUCUUUCCUUCUGCCUGGUGUCUCUCAAUUUCAGAUGGUGGCUGCUCCAUCAGCCUGGGUCUUGAAAUGAAGAUACUGUGGAACAGAACCCUCAGCCAACCUUCACAGAAAAUAAAACUUUGUUGUAAUUUGGGGACUUUUUUUUUUACUGCAGCAUUACUGAGCCCAUAUUGACUAAUACAAAUAUCAAAACUUUAUUAUUAUAUAAAAACAGUCAGUAUGUUGUCCAGGUCUCCCAGAUAGUCAGUGGCAGAGCACACAGACAUGACAUGUUUACCUGACUCAGAGGGUUACAAUGUUGUCAAUAUACUGUUCUUACAGUUAUUUAUAUCCCUGUUUUAUCUCUCAUGCUGGAUAUUCUUGGGUAGUAGAGCUGAGAGAUGUCUAACUGGUUCCCUAUCAUGAUUCUUUGUACCUGGAGCAAAGAUGAUACACAUAUAUACACACAUAUACACGUAUAUAUUUAUAUUUGCUUAAUAUUAAUAUAGUCAAUAGCUAAUAUUCAUUAAAUGUUGACUUUAAUGUAAUAAGAUUUUUCCCAACCUAGUUUCCUAAUAGUAGGCCAAGCAUGGUAAAAACAAAUCUUUUCUCACAGAAAUUUCUAUGUUUAUGCAGGAAAAUCGUGGUGGUUUUUAAGUGCCACAAGUUCUCCCAUGCUCUUACCUCCAAAAGAUGGAGGCUACUUCCUCUAUGCCUUGAGUGCAGGCUGGACUUGGUGACUUCUCAUAAAUAACACAUGGAGGAAUCGGCAGUGUAUGACUCAGCUGUAAUGGGCAGAGUGGCUUCCUUACUGUUCCCUCCUGGGACAUUCACUCUGAUGGAAGCUGCCUGCCAUUUUGUGAGGAUACAAACAACUUGGUGGAGAGGCCAGUGUUGCAUGGAAUUGAGGCUUCCUGCUAGCAGUCACAUGAGUGAGCUUAGAAGUGGACCCUCCUGCCUCAGUCAUACCUUCAGAUGACUGUGUUCUGAUGGACAUGUCCACUGCACCCUCAUGAGAGAUCCUGGGCUCGAACUUCCCACAUGAGCUACUACAGGAUUCCUGACCUAUAGAAACUAUGUGGGAUAUCCGCUUUUUUAAAGCCAAAUAUUUGGGGUAAUUUGUUAUGCAACAAUAGAUAACUCUCUCUCUAUAUAUAUAAUAUAACCUCUUUUUGGAAAAGUCAUAGCCUUGUUUUCAUAUCUGAUCAUCAUAGACAUGGGUAAAACUCAUGUGACAGUGAAAAGAAAUGCAUUGCUCAGAGUGUCAAUACCUUGUGAGUUCACAUAUGCAAGGAAAAUGACCUGUGAUGCUGAUUUUUGUAAGCAGUCUUUUUUUUUUUAAGGUAAACACUCAACCAAUUUUUAAAAAAUGUCCAAUUUGCAAAAGAUGUUUUCAACAGUGUGAUCUACAAGAUUCUGAGAUCUUGAAAGGUAGGUCUGAUGUCUUGCCUUUUACCGUACCUAUUUCCUGCUCUUCUCCAGACAACCACAUCCCCUCCAAGUGCCUAGGAUUGUGUUUUAUGUAGGUAGGCACUCAGUUUCCUUAUUGAAUAAAAUAACAUUCAGCUGCUUUCUUUUAAGAAUUAUUCACUUUGCCUCUGCCAUUCUCUCUCACCAAAAAUCAAACAUCUUGUCCCAUGUUUGUUUUUGCUUUUAGGAGAGGGAAUCAUUAUGUUUUCUCCUUGUAUUCAUCUCUAAGGAAGCAUUUUCUGCAAAGUGUUAUUUUGAGAGUCAUGGACCAGUUGGUUUGGUAGUUGAAACAGGAUUGGCCUGAUUUCCCCUAGACUUUGAGAAUACUUUGUUCUCUGUCUCUUGGGAGUUGGUGUUCAUUCACUGGUCUGUUUUCUGCCAUGUGCCAGGGUAACUUUGAAGGGGGUGAUGGCCUCAGUAGACUGGACCAAGAAGAGCCUUGGCCGCUGGUGGUGAUGUAGUCUCCGCAUUUCCUGUGGAUGCACGUUGGACUACCCUCUGGAUGUCACGCAAGUGCAGUUCCGGCCCUUAGGCUCUGGCUCGGCAUUCAGCCUCUAUCAACUUCGGUGCUUGCUCGGCAGUACGGUGAAAAAGCUGCAUUUAUUUAAGUCUCAUUAGGGCUGAAUCCUGCUCCCACUCAGUUGUGAGUCUUCAGCUUUGUUUAGAAACUUGUGAAUCAUUAACUGAAACUCUAGAGCAUAGCUGUGAAAAUAAUUGUGGUUCAAUAAUGAGGUAAUAAACUUCUUUCUAAGUUACAUUCAAAAUAAUCCACCAAAAAAAAAAAAAAGGAAAAAAAAUCCGCCAACCCGUGCCACCUGUCAGCAUAAACUCCCCGGCAACGUCUGCCCGCCUGGGGUGAGAACGGGAGUGCACAGGGCUGCUUCCAGGUUGCCUGCCCUGGCAGGGGUGGCGGUGUGGUGAGGCUGUGCCCUGGGCGAGAAGUGUGCUCAGCGCGGCCUUGUGCUCCGCAGUUGGCGUUUGGAUGAUACCACUCUGGGGAAACAGACACAGUGUCAGAGUCAAGCUGCUACCAGUGGGUGUUUCUAUACACGACUACUAAGCAAUGAGAAAGUUCAAUGGGGAAACCAUGGGCAUCGUAACAGCCUUUGAGAGUACAUGGCAUCCACUGUGGCCCAUUGUGCAGCAGACUGCACUCCACAUGACAUGCCGUAGGAAUACCAGGAGCGAGUGUUUUAAAUCUUAUUGGAGACGCCCUAUAAAUGUUGCCACUUGAGGGAUCUAUUCUGGGAGAAAAAUAUAGCAUGUCCUCCUGGGAUGCUGCUUGGAUUCAUUACCAGUAUUGCGGAUGGGAUCGAGUGUGGCAAUGCUUUUAUCACGAUUAUAAAGUGGUUACGAGCCAAUUCCUCGUAUAAAACAUACUCAAUAAUGUUGAGGCUUUUUUUCGCCUUUUCUGUUUCCUUCUUUUAUUUCCUUCCUUCCUUUCUUUUCUUUCCUUUUUGUUUUUGUAAUGACAAACAUGAUGUCAGACAAAGGGCACCAGGACUUAGUCUUUGUAGUACAAAACAAAAUAACAAUACAUAAACACCUUUGUGAAGGCAGCUCAGAACCCCAUGUUUUCUAUUAAAAAGUCAUGUUCAAUCUUCACUGUUGAUAGAACCGAAUAGCUAACACAGAGAACAUUGUAUAUCAGAAAGGUCAAUAGUUAUUAUGAGCUACAAAUAUAUUUUUUUCCAUCCUUCAGGCUGUUUAGUGCAUAUCACAGCAUGAGCAGCUGUCUUCUUUAAUGCUUUUAAAAUUAGAAUUCCAAAGAGGAAGAAAAAAUUAUGGUUGCAAUGAUUGCUCUUUGCUUUUGUAAGUUUACUUUAAUAUACUAUUUUAUAUACAUGAAUCCUCUGUGUAGCCUAUCCAUGGGGCAGUAACUGGUUGCCAGUACUGAGCUGAACUGCCAUGUUUAUUUUCUUAGCAUUCUGGCCAAGUCUCCAUUGCAGGAGCAGAUGUUGUCGACAUACUAUAUAUUAAAACGGAGUUAUACAGAGGAGUCUGGUUACAGAGGCAUUUGCAAACAUACACAUAUGCAUUCUGCCUUUUCAUUGCUUUAAAGCCCUGUGACUAACUGCAACAACGCCAUGUGAUGAGCCACAGUUAGGCAGCACUGGGUGAAAACUCAGGCAGUGAUUCAAACCACUGAUAGGCAAAGUAUCACUCUCCAUGUGCAGGCCUCGGGACUGAGUGUGCACCUUUUAAGUUUUUAAAGGUCGACCUUCUGCCUGUCCCUGGAACGUCUUACCUUUACUCAGUACAUGGCCCUAAAAGACGAUCUAAGUAGCACAUGGAAGCACACAUCAGAUGCUCACUUAGUCUUUGUUCAGUUAUUUAAUAAGGACUUAACCAAAUAUCUAUCCAGAGCUGGGGCCAUUUAUAACUGCUUACAUUUGGGAGGAGGAGAAAAGUACAUCAUCAUUUUUGGUAGUAGCUCUACAGAAGAACAAUGCAGAGAGUAAGGGGCUAGAGAGUUGGGAGGACCAUAUUUUGGUUGGGUGUCACAUGGCCUCUCUGAUGAGAUGGGUUUUGAGAAAAGACCAAGUCACCCGGAUAUCUGGAUGACGACACCAUGCCAUAUCUCCAUGCUCAUGAUUUGCAUUGUAACUUUAUGACUCCAGACUGGAAAAAGACCUUGUAGAAACUAUUAUCUGGAUAGAUAUGCACUAGUGACAAAGAAAUUAUAGAAAUAUUACCCUUUGAACUUUUGUCCAAAAUGAAAAUAAGUGAUACACUAAAGUGUCAUGAAAAUAAGUGAUAUACUAAAAUGUGACAUACAAAUGAUUUAACAUGUAGGAAACUAAAGAGGAGUUAAUGGGUGGAAUUGUUCCAAGUGUCCAAUGCCUCCCGGAUGGACCCACUGGUGUCGAGUCUUUGGGGAUUUCUCCAGAGAGAGCAGCUUCAUUAGAAAAAUGCAGCGAAGAUAGGGUAAAUAAAUGAUAUACUUUUCUUUGGUGAAUUUUGGUGGAAAAAAAGAAAGAGACUUGGGUAUGUUUCCUGAUUGAGAGAACUGAGCUUCAAGUUGUCCACAUUAAAAUUGAAGAAUUUAAAUCCUAAGGAUAUUUAAUCAGUGAUAGAGAAAGAGAGGUGAGCCUCUGAAAUGGGAAGGAGAAGAAAAAGGAGGAUGUGAGAGAAAAAGGGAGAAGAGAGAGAGAGUGUGGUGGGAAUGGUGGUGAAUGACUUAGAGAGUAAAGGUCGUUCACUGAGAUAAAGGAAGUGGGAGAAGGAGAGGAUUUUGAGAGUGGAAAAAAGCUAUGAAGCACAGCAACUAGGAUCAAUAGAAGACAAAUAAUAAGAUUGCGUAGUGGCUGGAAGUUGCAAGGCUUAAACGUAAGAGCAUACAUUUUCUAGGGUACCCUGAUGAUAGUAGCUUUGUGGCUUUUCCAGGCAAUUCUCAGGUCAGUGAGGUUUUCCCAGGGAUGGAAACUGGCACAAUGUAAUGAAAGAAAGUCAACAGAAUGAGGGAUUCCUUAAGAGACAAGAAAGUGAAUACUGGCAGUGAUGAGCUGGGAAAGAGGGAAGGAGACAAGACAGGGGGUGGUGACCAGGAGGAGUCAGCCAAUGGGGGAUUCUGUUCAGAGGAUGAUUUGUAAGAAUGUUUAUUGUUCUUAAAAAAUUUAUGUUUAUAUGUCUCUAUUUUUCCUAUGUUCAUAGAAAUUUGGAAAAUAUGAAAAGGUAUAAGUAAGAAAAAAAAUUCUCAGUAACCUUAUCACCCAAUUAUGUUCACUAUUGAAAUAAAUAUAUUUUGUUGUACUCUUAUUUACUUUUAUAAAUUUAUUUUGAAAUUGGGAUCAUUUCUAUUUUUCUCACAUUUUUAAUGUUAAAAAAGCUUAUAGCUCACUCUGUGAUAAGAGUUGUAUUUCUAUUAGGUACUUUUUGGGGAACAAAAGGAUAUUGGCACUCCAGUGGCCUUGGUUGCAAAUCAGCUUUUCCUUUUUUAAAAGAAAUGAUCAUAUCUGCAUUUUCCCAUAACAGUACAUCACUUGCAAACACACUAUUUUUACUGACUACGUAAUAUUUUAUUACAUGGUGAUGAAUUUCUUUGAAAUUAAUUUUCCUGUAAUUUCUUAGGUUGGAUUUCUAGAAAGAGUAUUACUGGGUCAGAGAGGAUGAGUUUUUCUUAAAAAGCUAAUAUGCAUAAAUGGAUUUCCAGAAAAGCUGUACUGUACCAGUUCACAUGUUUAUCGAUAAUGUUUGAUGAUGUUCCAUUUGAUUGCCAUCUUCAAACAUUUUUUCUCAUUUGAUAAAAAAUAUUAAAAUAGUAGAAGAUUCAAAGAAGAUAUUUUAUGGGGGUUUCCCUGAAAAAUUAUAUGUAAAAACAUCUCUUGUGUUUUAUUUGUAC